rnacentral:tRNA from 1 species
UGGGACUAUUGCUUAUAGGUUAAAGCCCUCUGCUUAUAACGGAGUGAACCGAGUUCGAGUCUCGGUAGUCCUACCA